AUUGAACGCUGGCGGCAUGCUUUACACAUGCAAGUCGAACGGUAACAGGCCUUCGGGUGCUGACGAGUGGCGAACGGGUGAGUAAUGCAUCGGAACGUACCCAGAGGUGGGGGAUAACGCAGCGAAAGCUGUGCUAAUACCGCAUGUGAUCUGAGGAUGAAAGCGGGGGACCGAGCAGCAAUGUUUGGCCUCGCGCCUUUGGAGCGGCCGAUGUCGGAUUAGCUAGUUGGUGGGGUAAAGGCCUACCAAGGCGACGAUCCGUAGCUGGUCUGAGAGGACGACCAGCCACACUGUGACUGAGACACGGCCCAGACUCCUACGGGAGGCAGCAGUGGGGAAUUUUGGACAAUGGGCGCAAGCCUGAUCCAGCAAUGCCGCGUGCGGGAAGAAGGCCUUCGGGUUGUAAACCGCUUUUGGCAGGAACGAAACGGUGUCCGCUAAUACCGGGCGCUAAUGACGGUACCUGCAGAACAAGCACCGGCUAACUACGUG
rnacentral:rRNA from 1 species